AUGAGAAUCACAGGAAGGCACGCCACACAGUGCAGAUGGAAACACAAACACACGCCACACACACACACACACACACACACACACGAUGUUGAUUCGCACGGCAUGAGUUGCUACAGGACAUCAAGCAAGGGCGUCGUAGUCCUUGCCGCUCUCCUCCGAGGCCGAGCCAUGCGCGACGAGCACGUAGAUGGCGUAGAUGAUGCCGGGGAUGUAGCCCAGGAUGGUGAGCAGCAGACAGAUCAAGAACUCCAUCUGUUCAAGACAGACAGAAAGAAAGACCAAUCAACACUGUUGUUAGUAUGCUAUAUAUCAGGAUCCAGCAUGGAUCCAUCCAUCCAGCCCAGCAGGAUCGCCUCGCGGGGGAGAGGAGAGGAAGGGGAUGGAUUGCUUACGCUGCAGCAGCCGUAG
rnacentral:rRNA from 1 species